rnacentral:rRNA from 1 species
GUGCACCAGGCGCGAAUACUUUACAAUGUGCGAAAGCACGAUAAGGGAACUCUGAGUGCCUCCUAAGGAGGCUGUUCUGAUGUCUAAAAAGCAACAGAAGUAAGGGCUGGGUAAGACCGGUGCCAGCCGCCGCGGUAACACCGGCAGCCCAAGUGGUAGCCACGUUUAUUGGGUCUAAAGCGUUCGUAGCCGGCCAGGUAAGUUCCUUGGUAAAUUUAGCCGCUUAACGGUUAAGCUUUCAGGGAAUACUGCUUGGCUUGGGACUGGGAGAGGUCAGAGGUACUCCGGGGGUAGGGGUGAAAUCUAUUAAUCCCUGGGGGACCACCGGUAGCGAAGGCGUCUGACCAGACCAGGUCCGACGGUGAGGGACGAAGGCUAGGGGCGCGAACCGGAUUAGAUA